rnacentral:tRNA from 1 species
GCCGAGGUAGCUAAGUCCGGCCUACGGCGCCAGUCUUGAAAACUGGUGGUGUCUCACCACGGGAGUUCAAAUCUCCCCCUCGGCG